GAGGGAGGAAGAGAGAGAGAAAGAGGUUGAAAUAGAGAGAAAUAGAGAGGAUGUGAAGAAAAGAAAACAGAAAGAAAAGAAUGACAGGAGAUUGUGAUGCAUUGAGAAAAAUAGGGUGGGGGGACGGAGGGGGGCGGUGGACAGAAGGUGAAGAGAAAAGGAAAUGAAGAGAGGAAGACAGGAGGAGAGGAAGAGAGGAGGAGAAGAAGACAGGAGGAGG